GAUGAAGAACGUAGUGAAAUGCGAUAAGUAAUGUGAAUUGCAGAGUUCAGUGAAUCAUCGAAUCUUUGAACGCACAUUGCGCCCGUCAGUAUUCUGGCGGGCAUGCCUGUUCGAGCGUCAUUUCAACCCUCAAGCCCCAGCGGCCUGGUGUUGGGGACCGGCGACCUCGCCCGAGCCCGCCCUCCGGGGCGCGUGCCCGGUGCGUCCGCCGCCCCCGAAAUGAAUUGGCGGCCUCGUCGCGGCCUCCUCUGCGUAGUAGCACAACCUCGCAAGCGGGAGCGCGACGCGGCCACUGCCGUAAAACGCCCAACUUUUUUAGAGUUGACCUCGGAUCAGGUAGGAAUACCCGCUGAACUUAAGCAUAUCAAUAAGCGGAGGA
rnacentral:misc_RNA from 1 species